ACCUGGCUGGCUCAGUCGGUAGAGCAUGAGACUCUUGAUCUCAGGGUCAUGAGUUCAAGCCCCACACCAAGUA
rnacentral:tRNA from 1 species